CUACGGGACGCUGCAGUAAGGAAUAUUGCGCAAUGGAGGCAACUCUGACGCAGCCAUGCCGCGUGCAGGAAGAAGGCCUUAUGGGUCGUAAACUGCUUUUAUUUAGGAAUAAACCCCCGAACGUGUUCGGGGCUGAAGGUACUAAACGAAUAAGCACCGGCUAACUCCGUGCCAGCAGCCGCGGUAAUACGGAGGGUGCAAGCGUUAUCCGGAUUUAUUGGGUUUAAAGGGUGCGCAGGCGGGCUAUUAAGUCAGUGGUGAGGUCCCGGGGCUCAACUCCGGAACUGCCAUUGAUACUGAUAGUCUUGAGUUUGGUUGAAGUGGGCGGAAUGUAGCAUGUAGCGGUGAAAUGCAUAGAUAUGCUACAGAACACCAAUCGCGAAGGCAGCUCACUAAGCCAAAACUGACGCUCAUGCACGAAAGCGUGGGGAUCAAACAGGAUUAGAUACCCUAGUAGUC
rnacentral:rRNA from 1 species